rnacentral:rRNA from 1 species
UACGUAGGGUGCGAGCGUUGUCCGGAAUUACUGGGCGUAAAGAGCUCGUAGGUGGUUUGUCGCGUCGAAUGUGAAAACCCGGGGCUCAACCCCGGGCCUGCAUUCGAUACGGGCAGACUAGAGUUCGGUAGGGGAGUCUGGAAUUCCUGGUGUAGCGGUGAAAUGCGCAGAUAUCAGGAGGAACACCGGUGGCGAAGGCGGGACUCUGGGCCGAUACUGACGCUGAGGAGCGAAAGCGUGGGGAGCAAACAGG